CUUUUGAAGGGUUCAGCCGGGCGAUGGUUGCCCCGGUCGUAAGGGACUGCAAAUGAGCGGGAAGUGAAUUUGGAAGAAGGCGAGAAAAGCUGUGUGAAUAGAAGAUAGAGCCCGUACCGCAAACCGACACAGGUAGAUAGGAAGAAGAUUCUAAGGCCAACGGGAGAAGGCUUGUUAAGGAACUCGGCAAGUUGACCCCGUAACUUAGGGAGAAGGGGUGCUCUUUAAGGAGAGCCGCAGAGAAUAGGCCCAAGCGACUGUUUAGCAAAAACACAGCUCUAUGCUAAAUCGAAAGAUGACGUAUAUGGGGUGACACCUGCCCGGUGCCGGAAGGUUAAGAGGAGGAGUGAGAGCUCUGAAUUGAAGCCCCGGUAAACGGCGGCCGUAACAAUAACGGUCCUAAGGUAGCGAAAUUCCUUGUCAGGUAAGUUCUGACCCGCACGAAUGGUGUAACGAUUUGGGCACUGUCUCAACAACCUGCCCGGCGAAAUUGUAGUACCGGUGAAGAUGCCGGUUACCCGCGACUAGACGGAAAGACCCCAUGGAGCUUUACUGCAGCUUAAUAUUGAAUUUCGGUAUUUCAUGUACAGGAUAGGUGGGAGACAGGGAACCAUAGGCGUCAGCUUAUGGGGAGUCGACCUUGGGAUACCACUCUUGAGGUGCUGGAAUUCUAACCUGUGGCUCUGAAUCGAGUCAGGGGACAUUGUUAGGCGGGCAGUUUGACUGGGGCGGUCGCCUCCAAAAAGGUAACGGAGGCGCUCAAAGGUUCGCUCAGCAUGGAUGGAAACCAUGCUUUUGAGUGUAAACGCAAAAGCGAGCCUAACUGCUAGACUGACGGGUCGAGCAGUAACGAAAGUUGGAGUUAGUGAUCCGGCGGUAUGUGAGUGGGAAUGCCGUCGCUCAACGGAUAAAAGCUACCCUGGGGAUAACAGCUGAUCUCCCCCAAGAGUCCACAUCGACGGGGAGGUUUGGCACCUCGAUGUCGGCUCAUCGCAUCCUGGGGCUGAAUUCGGUCCCAAGGGUUUGGCUGUUCGCCAAUUAAAGCGGUACGCGAGCUGGGUUCAGAACGUCGUGAGACAGUUCGGUCCCUAUCUGUCGUGGGCGUAGGAUAUUUGAAAGGAGCUGUCCCUAGUACGAGAGGACCGGGAUGGACGCACCGCUGGUGCACCAGUUGUCAUGCCAAUGGCACAGCUGGGCAGCUAUGUGCGGAACGGAUAGACGCUGAAGGCAUCUAAGCGUGAAGCCGACCUUAAGAUAAGAUAUCCCUUCGUAAGAGUAAGACCUCUCAUAGACUAUGAGUUUGAUAGGCCUAAGGUGUAAGCACAGUGAUGUGUUCAGCCUGCAGGUACUAAUCGGUCGAGGGCUUUUCCG
rnacentral:rRNA from 1 species